GUCAACAAUUAUGUGUCUCUGCGAAGUGAAUGUUGUAGGAGGACGGGAUUGUUUACUGCGCGGAAUUUUCGUCACCAUGCCUCGAGUAGCUGCGCCAAGAGGAACUGUUAGAGAACGAGAUGAAUCAAGCAAACUCCUCAAUCAACAUUACCUAUCGGUCUCUUCCUUGAUAGUGAGGAGAAUAUUGAAUGGAGACGGCGAGGGACAACUCUCAAGGUAGUUGACUGGUAAUCGCCGUUCUCCAGCGUGAUGAAGGAAAGCAGGCAGCGUUCACAUGGAAGGGCUAGGGUAGGAUCAGGACAUACAGGGUACCACAAGUUCCCAUCCACAAAUCUGACGCUACCAAGUUUCGCCUGAUGAAAAGUAAUGAAUAAAUCGAACAAAUGAAAAUCAAAGGAAACCGAUAAAUGAAAGUAAAACCACGAUAAAUUGUCAGGUUAUGUUGAUGCGUAUUGGCGUUGAGGGAUAUGUGAAAAUAUAGAAAAAGAAAGAAAGAAAGG